rnacentral:tmRNA from 1 species
CAGGGAAUAAGCUCAAUAGUCGGUAGCCUUAGUCUUGUAUUGAGUCGAAAACGAAAAUAAGGAUAAGCAUGUAGAAAGCAAAUUAGUUCCUCGUUUGGACGAGGGUUCGAAUCCCUCCAGGUCCACUA